GGGUGUUUGUUACGUUACGCUGUUAUGUGUUUCAAAGGAUUUUUCGUCAAAAAAUUUACGCUAUGCCAGCUGCUGAACCAGCAGCCUGCAUUCCUGCUAUCAAUGUACCACAAAAGAUCCUGACACUUUGAGAAGGCCACUAUUGCUUACAUGAAGAUCACCAUCCAGUUCAAGUACUGUUAAUGGACCUCAAGCCUUUUGUUUAAGCUUAGUGAUGUGUUCUCUCAUCAGUCAGCGACAGAGUCUUCAUCUACUUUGUGUUGCUAACCAUCCACCCUCAGCAUCCCAGGUAUCCAGAUUUCCAAGUUUCUCUGAUUAGCCAACCAUCAUCAAAACCCUUCAGCUCUUCAAUGUGGCUUCUCCUUCUCUCUUCUUAAUCUGCUGAAUGCCAACAUUGAAUAAGAUUCAUCCUCAUUGCCUUUCCAUGCCAGCUCACAUGGAUAGGCUUUAACAACAUCUCCAUUUUUUGGACUGCAAAUAUUCAUCUUCCUUCGGUACGACACUGCCGUUUUGACAAUUUCGGUAGUUUCGCCCCCAGUGGACCACACGUAACUACAUUUUCUUCGUCUUCCUGUCGUUGUUGUCUACGACUUCACCUCAUCGCUGUCUUCGUUGAUGUCUUCGCCUUCAUCUCCGUCUCGUCGUCUUAGUCGUCUUCUCCUUCAUCUCCGUCUCGUCGUCUUAGUCAUCUUCGCCUUCACCUCCGUCUCGUCGUCUUCGCCGUCUUUGUCUACGCCAUCACCUCGUCGCCGGCUUCUCUUUCGCCCUUCACGUUGGGAAUUCACCGUGGAUAUUCGCUCUGGUAUUGUUUUGUUUUACAUUAUUAUGUUUAAGUUAACCCGUUGGCUGCCACCCCGUUUGCGUCCCAUUUUUUUUGUAGCUUGUAGGGACCGGCCGCAAUGGCCUUCGCCGCAAGGCGCUUUAGGCA